UACAGAGGGUGCGAGCGUUGUUCGGAAUUACUGGGCGUAAAGCGCGCGCAGGCGGCCCUUUAAGUCUGUCGGUCAAACGCCGGGGCUCAACCCCGUGCUCGCCGGAGAUACUGGAGGGCUGGAGACAGGUAGAGGCAGGCGGAAUUCCGGGUGUAGCGGUGGAAUGCGUAGAGAUCCGGAAGAACACCAGAGGCGAAGGCGGCCUGCUGGGCCUUGUCUGACGCUGAGGCGCGAAAGCGUGGGGAGCGAACAGGAUUAGAAACCCGAGUAGUCG
rnacentral:rRNA from 1 species